rnacentral:lncRNA from 7 species
AUUACCAGGGAAGGGCUGUGGGUUUGUCACGUACUCUAACAGGUACCUUUGUUUUCGUCAUCACCAUUUGAAACAGUAGACGGUGGACCUGCAGUGAACUAGCUGCUCGGUCUUCUCAUUACGACUUGGAACUAUGCAUAUUAGAGCUCUUUUAGUUUCUUUGUCAUGUGUGGUUAACUGUAGAGUUUGUAAGAGUGCCGUGCAUCUUUUUAGCUGGCUCAGCAUAGCCCCCCUUGGCAUGUUCUAGGCAGCAGGACUGACUUGCGUCUUUUAGGGCAUCAGCAGAGGAAGCCAUUAGAAUGCUGAAUGGAAGUCAGCUGGGAGGUAAAGCCAUAAAACUUUCGUGGGGUUACCCUUCUGCUGACAAGCAGGUAAUUCCCGUCGCUUGUUUAUUUGCUACUUUCCAUCCAAGCUGUGUGUUGUUUACAUGCAUAAAUAUUGGCAGGCUCAAAGGAACAGCGGCGGCGGGUUCGGACGCGACUGCUUCGUUUGGUCUCCUCAGUAUCCCUACGCUUACGCUCAGACAUGCCAACCGGGAUAUGGAUAUUAAUUACCGAUAGCAAGCUGCCCACAGUGCAGUGAGAUCGUGUGAAGAAAGAUGUCAGUCACAAGGAACAGCUGCUAGGGUGUAGAGGGAUUUUUGGUCCAUGUUUUUUUUUCUUUUUGGAAAUUGGUUCCUCCUAUGGUUGCAUACCGUGAAGCAUCGGCAUCUGGAUCCAUACAUGAGAAUGCAAACAACGAUUGAAUGUACAUUUACACACAUACUGCUACUACUAUAUUAAUUACUGUACCUU